rnacentral:rRNA from 1 species
GACGAACGCUGGCGGCGUGCUUAAAACAUGCAAGUCGAACGGACUUCUCAUGAAGCUUGCGAUUGAGAAGUUAGUGGCGGACGGGUGAGUAACGCGUGGGCAACCUGCCCCUGAGCCCGGGAUAAUAGUUCGAAAGGACUGCUAAGAUCGGAUAUACUUGCGGUGAAGCAUUUCACUGCAAGGAAAGGGAACGCUCAGGGAUGGGCCCGCGUCCCAUUAGCUAGUUGGUGAGGUAACGGCCCACCAAGGCGACGAUGGGUAGCCGGCCUGAGAGGGUGAACGGCCACACUGGGACUGAGACACGGCCCAGACUCCUACGGGAGCAGCAGUUGGGAAUCUUCGGCAAUGGGCGCAAGCCUGACCGAGCAACGCCGCGUGAGUGAUGAAGGUUUUCGGAUUGUAAAGCUCUGUCUUCCGGGACGAUAAUGACGGUACCGGAGGAGGAAGCCACGGCUAACUACGUG